GGACGCCCUUAGAAUCCCCCAGUACGGGAGUGUUAAUAGUGGCGCUUUUGGCCGAGUUCCACGGUUAGUGAAUC
rnacentral:ncRNA from 1 species